rnacentral:rRNA from 1 species
CCUACGGGGGGCAGCAGUGGGGAAUAUUGCACAAUGGGGGAAACCCUGAUGCAGCGACGCCGCGUGAGUGAAGAAGUACUUCGUUAUGUAAAGCUCUAUCAGCCGGGGAGAAAGUGACGGUACCUGAGUCAGAAGCCCCGGCUAACUACGUGCCAGCAGCCGCGGUAAUCCGUAGGGGGCAAGCGUUAUACGGAUUUACUGGGGGUAAAGGGGGCGUAGAUGGCAGUGCAAGUCUGGUGUGAAAGGGGGGGGCUCAACCCCCGGACUGCUCUGGAAACUGUACGGCUGGAGUGCAGGAGAGGUAAGUGGAAUGCGUAGUGUAGCGGUGAAAUGCGUAGAUAUUAGGAGGAACACCAGUGGCGAAGGCGGCUUACUGGACUGUAACUGACGUUGAGGCUCGAAAGCGCGGGGAGCAAACAGGAUUAGAUACCCGUGUAGUC